CAAAAACAUGUCCUUUUGGAUUAAUUUUUAAGGUCUGACCUGCCCACUGAUUUAUUAAAUGGCCGCAGUAUUUUAACUGUGCGAAGGUAGCAUAAUCACUAGUCUUUUAAUUGGAGGCUUGUAUGAAUGGUUGGACGAAUCAUAUUCUGUAUUUUUUAAAUUUAUAUUAGAAUUUUAUUUUUUAGUUAAAAAGCUAAAAUUUUAUUUAAAGACGAGAAGACCCUAUAGAUUUUUAUAUUUUUUUAUAAUAAUAGUAUUAAGAUUUAUUUUCUUUUGUUAUGAAAAGUUAUUUUGUUGGGGUGACAUCAAAAUUUGUUAAACUUUUGUUAAUAUUUAUUUACAUUAAUUUAUGUUUUAUUGAUCCGUUUUUAGCGAUUAAAAGUUUAAAUUACCUUAGGGAUAACAGCGUAAUUUUCUUGGAGAGUUCAAAUCGAUAAGGAAGAUUGCGACCUCGAUGUUGGAUUAAAAUUAAUAUUGGGUGCAGAAGCUCAAUUGUUAAGUCUGUUCGACUUUAAAUUUUUUACAUGAACC
rnacentral:rRNA from 1 species